rnacentral:rRNA from 1 species
CCGGCGCAGCCCGCGACAACCCGUACCGCUCGUCGCCCCCUCCGCGCCGACGCCGCCGCGCCUACCUGGGCCUCCGCCGCUGCCUCGACCGCGCCUUCCCCCAGUGCGAGGACGAGGAGCUGCACGGGGUCGUGUGGGAGGAGCCGGAGCUGUGGGUCCACAAGAGCCAGCCGGGGUCCAAGUCUCCCUAGUUCUACCACGGGGGUCCGGGCGUGAAGGAGGUGAUGACGAGGGGGUCGUCCGCGCCCUUACUCAAGCGGGGCUGUCAGCCUAAGAAAGAAUGGUGAGUGGGUAGAGUCCACCAGCAAGCUUCUACCGUACGAGUUCUCCUCUCUGAUCACUGUGAUAGUCUUCUCCUCCUUUAGUCUAUGAGACUUCGUCAUUUUGCAAAGCUCAAGCUACUAGUCGAACCUGGUAUGUUAAACCUAAGAAAACCUCUGACCUUUGUUGAAAGUUCGAUGAACAGUGUUUCACAGUAACUUGCGGAACCAUUCAGACUACGUAAGAACUAAAAAGAGCAUGGGAAUUAUCAAUGUCUCGUCGGACACAAAUUCUGUAAAAACUAUCUUGAUUGAUUACUUGAUGACCAAUACACACAAACUAAACAUGUCUCGGUUAACCACCUCUUUAAUGUUAACGUAACCUCUGUAGUACCUACCUAUCUCGAGGGGUUUGUCUAUACCUCUCUGCUAACUACCUUGUUGAAUCUCUUCUGUUCAAACGUUUCUUUCGGGGACGUGUCGGACUCUCCUCUCCUACGAUAAUGUGUUGAUAGGGUCGAAGCCAAUUCGUGUCUUUGUAAAGACGUCUACUCGACUGAAACGACUUAAACCUGUCUUGUUCGAACGACCUCUGACAGAACCGGUUUUUAAUAGUUCCGGUUCUUCUAAAUGAGAACCCCCUCGACGUCAAGAGAAAGCAUCGCAAAUACUACCCUGUCAGUGACCUCCGCAAAUACGUCACCUUUCGUAAUCAGUCAGAAGAAAACUCGACAUCGCUUCGAGGUGAAGUAUGUUCCUGUGUUAACAAACAUUUCAAAUAAUCCCAAUAAAUGAUGGUCAAGUUCGUACCGAAAGUUGCAUGUGUACUAAGGUCUUCAUCACUCCUGUUCCCGUUAAGAAACAAAGACCUGCUUCGUACCAAAAGUUCUCUGUAUAAGGAAAUGGCCGAAAGGUUCCUAAAGAACCGCCAUUAUAAACUUCGAGUUCAGCACCUACCCCUGGAAGACAGUACCCGAUCCUUUGACUUCUGCGAGGACCUCUGGUGCAAACCCACCCUAGAGCUCUUGUUGCGCCACUUGGAAUAGCUACUCCUGCUACUCAAACGAGGGCACCAGCACCUCUACCUGCCGAGGAUCCCGCGCGUGUAAGGUGCCUUAGAGUGCUGCCACCUGCGUGGCUCAAAAUCGUUCAUUGUUUCCCUGUACCACUCCAAUAGUCGACCGACGAUGAGAAAGACUUCUACCUACGAAUCGAAGAUGACAGUCUUCUCUUCCUACCUAUGAACGAAACGUGACCGUAAGAAUCAUCAUCAAGGGGCUUGCAACUGACAUUUAUACGCUCCUAAAGGUUGAACGACCAACGUAGUGGUCCUGUCAUCAAACCUUUAAGUAGGAUCCGAAACGUCUAACUGGCACCGUGAUGGCCUAAGGCAUCCGAAACGCCUAACACCCGAAAAUAAAGGUGGUAGCGAGAGAGGUUAUACCGUACUUUUGUUUCCUUUUCCAAAAGACCUGUUGUGCUAGGGCCGAUUUAGACAAGCACAGCCUCGUUUGUAAAGCUGCGGUACGGGCCGUACUAGCGGGCGAGUCUUUCUGCCGCUGUAUUUUAACUAAACGUUUCGCCUUAUGGGACCACCCCUUUAUUAAACUUCACGUAACGUUUAACUUUAGUUAAACUCGUGUCAAAGUUGGUUGACACGUUCAGAGUAGCGUCGAUUUCAUUGACGGAACUCGAAGUCGCCAGCCACACCUGACCUAGUCUUGGCAGCUGGUAGUGCGAUUGUUGUUAUUGGUUCUACUUCGGCGUGAGGUGAACAGAGAUACUUAGAAGGUACACGGACCGUUGUCCGGACCAGUGAACAAGUCACCAUUACCUUAGACGGCCGUACACAGACGGCGGGAGUAAUUGGAGCCCUACUGCCGUCAUUAAUUACACCACUGACCGCUGCGUGGAGUAGUGGUGGUUCGAACUCUCUACGAAACUUCAAACUUCAUCAUGAUCAAAAUGGAAAAGGGAAAUGGGUCGAAAAAAAGUGGCGUCGACGCAGUGUACCGAGCGGACG